UCCGGUUUGUCACCGGCAGUCCCAUUAGAGUGCUCAACUGAAUGUAGCAACUAAUGGCAAGGGUUGCGCUCGUUGCGGGACUUAACCCAACAUCUCACGACACGAGCUGACGACAGCCAUGCAGCACCUGUGUUCGAGUUCCCGAAGGCACCAAUCCAUCUCUGGAAAGUUCUCGACAUGUCAAGGGCAGGUAAGGUGGGGAUGACGUGAGUCAGUCAA
rnacentral:misc_RNA from 1 species